GGCUUUAUAGUCCGAACAAGGAUUAAUAGGGAAUCGGGUGCAAAUCCCGAGCAGUUCCCGCUACUGUAAGUUCUGAAAGUUCUUCCGGCAUUCAGAUGCCACUGGGUCAAAAGCCCGGGAAGGCGCCGGAAGAUGAACGAGCCAGGAGACCUGCCUUUGACUAAU
rnacentral:ncRNA from 1 species